rnacentral:rRNA from 1 species
UAAGGUUAAGUUAAUAAGGGCGCACGGUGGAUGCCUUGGCACUAGAAGCCGAAGAAGGACGUGACAAACGACGAAAUGCUUUGGGGAGCUGUAAGUAAGCGCUGAUCCAGAGAUGUCCGAAUGGGGGAACCCACUAACUAAUGGUUAGUAUCCAUAACUGUUAAGGUUAUGAGAAGGAAGACGCAGUGAACUGAAACAUCUAAGUAGCUGCAGGAAGAGAAAGCAAACGCGAUUGCCUUAGUAGCGGCGAGCGAAACGGCAGGAGGGCAAACCGAAGUGUUUACACUUCGGGGUUGUAGGACUGCGACGUGGGACUUUAAAAGGAUAGAAGAAUUACCUGGAAAGGUAAGCCAAAGAGAGUAAAAGCCUCGUAUUUAAAAUUCUUUUGAGCCCUAGCAGUAUCCUGAGUACGGCGAGACACGUGAAAUCUCGUUGGAAUCUGGGAGGACCAUCUCCCAACCCUAAAUACUCUCUAGUGACCGAUAGUGAACCAGUACCGUGAGGGAAAGGUGAAAAGCACCCCGGGAGGGGAGUGAAAUAGAACCUGAAACCGUGUGCCUACAACAAGUUCGAGCCCGUUAAUGGGUGAGAGCGUGCCUUUUGUAGAAUGAACCGGCGAGUUACGAUAUGAUGCGAGGUUAAGUUGAAGAGACGGAGCCGUAGGGAAACCGAGUCUUAAUAGGGCGAUUUAGUAUCAUGUUGUAGACCCGAAACCAUGUGACCUACCCAUGAGCAGGUUGAAGGUGAGGUAAAACUCACUGGAGGACCGAACCAGGGCACGUUGAAAAGUGCUUGGAUGACUUGUGGGUAGCGGAGAAAUUCCAAACGAACUUGGAGAUAGCUGGUUCUCUCCGAAAUAGCUUUAGGGCUAGCGUCGAUGUUAAGUCUCUUGGAGGUAGAGCACUGUUUGGGUGAGGGGUCCAUCUCGGAUUACCAAUCUCAGAUAAACUCCGAAUGCCAACGAGAUAUCAUCGGCAGUCAGACUGCGAGUGCUAAGAUCCGUAGUCGAAAGGGAAACAGCCCAGACCACCAGCUAAGGUCCCAAAAUAACUGUUAAGUGGAAAAGGAUGUGGGGUUGCACAGACAACUAGGAUGUUAGCUUAGAAGCAGCUAUUCAUUCAAAGAGUGCGUAAUAGCUCACUAGUCGAGUGACCCUGCGCCGAAAAUGUACCGGGGCUAAAACAGUUUACCGAAGCUGUGGAUGACACAAAAGUGUCAUGGUAGGAGAGCGUUCUAUGUGUGAAGAAGGUGUACCGUGAGGAGCGCUGGAACGCAUAGAAGUGAGAAUGCCGGUAUGAGUAGCGCAAGACAGGUGAGAAUCCUGUCCACCGUAAGACUAAGGUUUCCAGGGGAAGGCUCGUCCGCCCUGGGUUAGUCGGGACCUAAGGAGAGACCGAAAGGUGUAUCCGAUGGCCAACAGGUUGAUAUUCCUGUACUAGAGUAUAUAGUGAUGGAGGGACGCAGUAGGCUAACUAAACCGGACGAUUGGAAGAGUCCGGCUAAGCAGUGAGGUGUAAGAUGAGUCAAAUGCUUAUCUUUAUAACAUUGAGCUGUGAUGGGGAGCGAAUUUUAGUAGCGAAGUUAGUGAUGUCACACUGCCAAGAAAAGCUUCUAGCGUUUAAUGAUACUCUACCCGUACCGCAAACCGACACAGGUAGUCGAGGCGAGUAGCCUCAGGUGAUCGAGAGAACUCUCGUUAAGGAACUCGGCAAAAUGACCCCGUAACUUCGGGAGAAGGGGUGCUGACUUAGGUCAGCCGCAGUGAAUAGGCCCAAGCAACUGUUUAUCAAAAACACAGCUCUCUGCUAAAUCGUAAGAUGAUGUAUAGGGGGUGACGCCUGCCCGGUGCUGGAAGGUUAAGAGGAGGGUUUAGCGCAAGCGAAGAUCUGAAUUGAAGCCCCAGUAAACGGCGGCCGUAACUAUAACGGUCCUAAGGUAGCGAAAUUCCUUGUCGGGUAAGUUCCGACCCGCACGAAAGGCGUAAUGAUUUGGGCACUGUCUCAACGAGAGACUCGGUGAAAUUUUAGUACCUGUGAAGAUGCAGGUUACCCGCGACAGGACGGAAAGACCCCAUGGAGCUUUACUGCAGUUUGAUAUUGAGUAUCUGUACCACAUGUACAGGAUAGGUAGGAGCCAUUGACUUCGGGACGCCAGUUUCGAAUGAGGCGUUGUUGGGAUACUACCCUUGUGUUAUGGCUACUCUAACCCAGAUAGGUUAUCCCUAUCGGAGACAGUGUCUGACGGGCAGUUUGACUGGGGCGGUCGCCUCCUAAAGAGUAACGGAGGCGCCCAAAGGUUCCCUCAGAUUGGUUGGAAAUCAAUCGCAGAGUGUAAAGG